rnacentral:rRNA from 3 species
GGGUUGUGAGGUUAAGCGACUAAGCGUACACGGUGGAUGCCCUGGCAGUCAGAGGCGAUGAAGGGCGUGCUAAUCUGCGAUAAGCGCCGGUAA